UAUAGAAUCCUUCUAGAGAACAGGUUCAGAAUAUAGAAUCCAUCUAGAGAACAGGUUCAGAAUAUAGAAUCCAUCUAGAGAACAGGUUCAGAAUAUAGAAUCCUUCUAGAGAACAGGUUCAGAAUAUAGAAUCCUUCUAGAGAACAGGUUCAGAAUAUAGAAUCCUUCUAGAGAACAGGUUCAGAAUAUAGAAUCCUUCUAGAGAACAGGUUCAGAAUAUAGAAUCCUUCUAGAGAACAGGUUCAGAAUAUAGAAUCCUUCUAGAGAACAGGUUCAGAAUAUAGAAUCCUUCUAGAGAACAGGUUCAGAAUAUAGAAUCCUUCUAGAGAACAGGUUCAGAAUAUAGAAUCCUUCUAGAGAACAGGUUCAGAAUAUAGAAUCCUUCUAGAGAACAGGUUCAGAAUAUAGAAUCCUUCUAGAGAACAGGUUCAGAAUAUAGAAUCCUUCUAGAGAACAGGUUCAGAAUAUAGAAUCCUUCUAGAGAACAGGUUCAGAAUAUAGAAUCCUUCUAGAGAACAGGUUCAGAAUAUAGAAUCCUUCUAGAGAACAGGUUCAGAAUAUAGAAUCCUUCUAGAGAACAGGUUCAGAAUAUAGAAUCCUUCUAGAGAACAGGUUCAGAAUAUAGAAUCCUUCUAGAGAACAGGUUCAGAAUAUAGAAUCCUUCUAGAGAACAGGUUCAGAAUAUAGAAUCCUUCUAGAGAACAGGUUCAGAAUAUAGAAUCCUUCUAGAGAACAGGUUCAGAAUAUAGAAUCCUUCUAGAGAACAGGUUCAGAAUAUAGAAUCCUUCUAGAGAACAGGUUCAGAAUAUAGAAUCCUUCUAGAGAACAGGUUCAGAAUAUAGAAUCCUUCUAGAGAACAGGUUCAGAAUAUAGAAUCCUUCUAGAGAACAGGUUCAGAAUAUAGAAUCCUUCUAGAGAACAGGUUCAGAAUAUAGAAUCCUUCUAGAGAACAGGUUCAGAAUAUAGAAUCCUUCUAGAGAACAGGUUCAGAAUAUAGAAUCCUUCUAGAGAACAGGUUCAGAAUAUAGAAUCCUUCUAGAGAACAGGUUCAGAAUAUAGGGAUCAUGUAAAAACAAGGCAAUAGUAUUCAGACCCCUUGGAUUUCUUCACAUGUUACAAAGGAUUCAAAUGGAUUUAAUUGAACUUUUUUUUCAACAAUGUACACAAAAUAUUCUGUCCAUGUAAAGACAAAACAUCUAUAUAUUUUUAAAGAUUAUUAGAAAUUAUAUAACUAAAAUAUAGGUUUUGCUUGAAUAUUCAGCUCUGAGUCGGUACAGGUUAGACAGAAACACUUUUGGCAGCGAUUACAGCUGUGAGUCUUUCUGGGUAAGUCUCUAAGAGUCAUUACAGCUGUGAGUCUCUCUGGGUAAGUCUCUAAGAGUGAUUACAUCUGUGAGUCUCUCUGGGGAAGUCUAAGAGUGAUUACAGCUGUGAUUCUGGGUAAGUCUCUAAGAGUGAUUACAGCUGUGAGUCUUUCUGGGUAAUUCUCUAAGAGUCAUUACAGCUGCGAGUCUCUCUGGGGAAGUCUCUAAGAGUGAUGACAGCUGUGAGUCUUUCUGGGUAAGUCUCUUAAGAGUGAUUACAGCUGAGAGUCUUUCUGGGUGAGUCUCUAAGAGUGAUUCCAGCUGAGAGUCUCUCUGGGGAAGUCUAAGAGUGAUUACAGCUGUGAGUCUCUCUGGGUAAGUCUCUAAGAGCGAUUACAGUGUGAGUCUCUCUGGGGAAGUCUCUAAGAGUGAUUACAGCUGUGAGUCUCUCUGGGUAAGUCUCUAAGAGUGAUUACAGCUUUGAGUCUUUCUGGGAAAGUCUCUAAGGGUGAUUACAGCUGUGAGUCUCUCUGGGUAAGUCUCUAAGAGCGAUUACAGUGUGAGUCUCUCUGGGGAAGUCUCUAAGAGUGAUUACAGCUGUGAGUCUCUCUGGGUAAGUCUCUAAGAGUGAUUACAGCUUUGAGUCUUUCUGGGAAAGUCUCUAAGGGUGAUUACAGCUGUGAGUCUCUCUGGGUAAGUCUAAGAGUGAUUACAGCUGUGAGUCUCUCUGGGUAAGUCUAAGGGUGAUUACAGCUGUGAGUCUCUCUGGGUAAGUCUAAGAGUGAUUACAGCUGUGAGUCUCUCUGGGUAAGUCUUUAAGAGCUUCACACCUUAAUUGUGCAUCAUUUGCACAUUAUUAUUUUCAAAUAUCUACAAGCUCUGUCAGGGUGUUGGGAUCAUGGCUAGACAGCCACAGAUUUUCAAGCAAAACUGUAACUCGGCCACUCAGGAACAUUCACUGUCUUCUUGGUAAGCAUCUCCAGUGUAGAUUUGGCCUUGUGUUGUAGGUUAUUGUCCUGCUGAAAGGUGAAUUAAUCUCCCAGUGUCUGGUGGAAAGCAGACUGAACCAGGUUAUUGUCCUGCUGAAAGGUGAAUUCAUCUCCCAGUGUCUGGUGGAAAGCAGACUGAACCAGGUUAUUGUCCUGCUGAAAGGUGAAUUCAUCUCCCAGUGUCUGGUGGAAAGCAGACUGAACCAGGUUAUUGUCCUGCUGAAAGGUGAAUUCAUCUCCCAGUGUCUGGUGGAAAGCAGACUGAACCAGGUUAUUGUCCUGCUGAAAGGUGAAUUCAUCUCCCAGUGUCUGGUGGAAAGCAGACUGAACCAGGUUAUUGUCCUGCUGAAAGGUGAAUUCAUCUCCCAGUGUCUGGUGGAAAGCAGACUGAACCAGGUUUUCAUCUAGAAUUUUUCCUGUGCUUAGCUUUAUUCCAUUUUUUUUAUCCUGAAAAACUCCUCAUUAUUUGCCGAUGUCAAGCAUACCCAUACCAUGAUGCAGCCGCCACUAUGCUUGAAAAAGAAGCAGGCAGUUACUCAGUGACGUAUUGGAUCUGCCCCAAACACAAGGUUUACAGUGUUCAUGUCACCUGUCCAAAUACAGUGAAAUGCCUUUCUUCAAAGUUCCCAACCCAACAAUACAGUAAAUCAAUAUCAAUGUAAAGAUAACAAGGUAGAACAAACACACAACAGAAAUAAACCUAAAAAUAACCGCACAAUGUAAGAAGCAUACUACUGAAUAUGUACAGGGAUACUGGAGUGAUGGAGGUAGAUAUGUAUAGGGGGAAGGAGACAGGGAUACUGGAGUGAUGGAGGUAGAUAUGUAUAGGGGGAAGGAGACAGGGAUACUGGAGUGAUGGAGGUAGAUAUGUAUAGGGGGAAGGAGACAGGGAUACUGGAGUGAUGGAGGUAGAUAUGUAUAGGGGGAAGGAGACAGGGAUACUGGAGUGAUGGAGGUAGAUAUGUAUAGGGGUAAGGAGACAGGGAUACUGGAGUGAUGGAGGUAGAUAUGUAUAGGGGGAAGGAGACAGGGAUACUGGAGUGAUGGAGGUAGAUAUGUAUAGGGGGAAGGUGACAGGGAUACUGGAGUGAUGGAGGUAGAUAUGUAUAGGGGGAAGGGGACAGGGAUACUGGAGUGAUGGAGGUAGAUAUGUAUAGGGGGAAGGAGACAGGGAUACUGGAGUGAUGGAGGUAGAUAUGUAUAGGGGGAAGGAGACAGGGAUACUGGAGUGAUGGAGGUAGAUAUGUAUAGGGGGAAGGUGACAGGGAUACUGGAGUGAUGGAGGUAGAUAUGUAUAGGGGGAAGGUGACAGGGAUACUGGAGUGAUGGAGGUAGAUAUGUAUAGGGGGAAGGAGACAGGGAUACUGGAGUGAUGGAGGUAGAUAUGUAUAGGGGGAAGGUGACAGGGAUACUGGAGUGAUGGAGGUAGAUAUGUAUAGGGGGAAGGUGACAGGGAUACUGGAGUGUUGGAGGUAGAUAUGUAUAGGGGGAAGGGGACAGGGAUACUGGAGUGAUGGAGGUAGAUAUGUAUUGGGGGAAGGAGACAGGGAUACUGGAGUGAUGGAGGUAGAUAUGUAUAGGGGGAAGGGGACAGGGAUACUGGAGUGAUGGAGGUAGAUAUGUAUAGGGGGAAGGAGACAGGGAUACUGGAGUGAUGGAGAUAGAUAUGUAUAGGGGGAGGAGACAGGGAUACUGGAGUGAUGGAGGUAGAUAUGUAUAGGGGGAAGGAGACAGGGAUACUGGAGUGAUGGAGGUAGAUAUGUAUAGGGGGAAGGAGACAGGGAUACUGGAGUGAUGGAGGUAGAUAUGUAUAGGGGGACAGGGAUACUGGAGUGAUGGAGGUAGAUAUGUAUAGGGGGAAGGGGACAGGGAUACUGGAGUGAUGGAGGUAGAUAUGUAUAGGGGUAAGGAGACUAGAGUGUGUGAGAGUGUACAUAGAGACAAUAAUAGAGGUAGAUAUGUAUAGGGGGAAGGUGAGUAGAGUUAUUUAGUCAGCUAUUUAGCAGUCUUAUGGCUUGGGGAUAGAAGCUGUUCCGGAGUCUUAUGGCUUGGGGAUAGAAGGUGUUCCGGAGUCUUAUGGCUUGGGGAUAGAAGCUGUUCCGGAGUCUUAUGGCUUGGGGAUAGAAGCUGUUCCGGAGUCUUAUGGCUUGGGGAUAGAAGCUGUUCCGGAGUCUUAUGGCUUGGGGAUAGAAGGUGUUCCGGAGUCUUAUGGCUUGGGGAUAGAAGGUGUUCCGGAGUCUUAUGGCUUGGGGAUAGAAGGUGUUCCGGAGUCUUAUGGCUUGGGGAUAGAAGCUGUUCCGGAGUCUUAUGGCUUGGGGAUAGAAGGUGUUCCGGAGUCUUAUGGCUUGGGGAUAGAGGUUGUUCCGGAGGCUGUUAGGCUUUACAUUUAGACCAAAAAGUAUUUCUUUUCCAUUUUCUAUUUAUAUGACUUUAGUGCCUUGUCGCGUGAUGCUAUCGCGUCAGCAUGGACCAACAUUCCUGUGAAACGUUCCUGAUACCUUGUAGCAUGCCCCAAAGAAUUCAGGUUGUUCUGGAUGCACAGGGGGACCUAACCCGGUACUAGAUGGGUGUAAUCCACAGCAUAAUUAUUAAUUUAGCCAUGCUUAAAGAGAUGUUCAAUGUCUGAUGUGUUAUUGUUACUCAGCUACCAAUCGCUGCCCUUCUUUAUGAGGCUCUUGUAAAGCUCCCUGGUCUUUGAGGUUGAAUCUGUGCUUGAAAUUCAACAGUUGACUGAGGGACCAAUGUUAUAUGUAUUGGGGACAGAGGAAGUCAUUCCAAAAUCACGACAACCCCUAUUAUUCCAUGUCAUUAUGUGAUUUGUUAAGCCACAUUCUGAACUAAUUUAGGCUUGACAUAACAAAGGGUCUGAAUACUUAAUCAAUUACUAUUUUAGUUAUGUUUUUAUUUAUUUAUAUUAACUUGUUUUUACAUCUUCCACUUUGACACUUUGAGUAUUUUGUGUAGAUUGUUAACAAAUGACAAGUCAAUUCAUUUUAAUCCCACUUGUGGAGAAAUAAGAAAGGGUCUGAAUUAUUUUUGCAAGGUACUGUAUAUGCAUCUGUUUCAGCACCAACUGGUACACUUAAAAAUACUCUGAUUUUGUAGAUUAUUUAGGCAGGAUUAGGAAAGUAUGUAUGAUAAAUAAAAUAAAUAAAAAACA